GACGAACGCUGGCGGCGUGCUUAACACAUGCAAGUCGAACGGAAAGGCCCUGCUUUUGUGGGGUGCUCGAGUGGCGAACGGGGGAGUAACACGUGAGUAACCUGCCCUUGACUGUGGGAUAACUUCAGGAAACUGGGGCUAAUACCGGAUAGGAGCUCCUGCUGCAUGGGGGGGGUUGGAAAGUUUCGGCGGUUGGGGAUGGACUCGCGGCUUAUCAGCUUGUUGGUGGGGUAGUGGCUUACAAAGGCUUUGACGGGUAGCCGGCCUGAGAGGGUGGCCGGCCACAUUGGGCCUGCGAUACGGCCCAGACUCCUACGGGAGGCAGCAGUGGGGAAUAUUGCACAAUGGGCGGAAGCCUGAUGCAGCAACGCCGCGUGCGGGAUGACGGCCUUCGGGUUGUAAACCGCUUUCGCCUGUGACGAAGCGUGAGUGACGGUAAUGGGUAAAGAAGCACCGGCUAACUACGUG
rnacentral:rRNA from 1 species